CCCCGAUAUAGUGAGAACGACAGAGUCGGAGUGUCACUGAGUGGGUGCCGUAGGUCUUUCCAAAGAUGAAGGUGCUUUUAGCCUUAUUGGCCGUAUACCUCGGCGGUCUCGCACUCGCAGAGAAGAGGGCAGUUACCACCCCAACCGUGUGUGAGAAAAAGCUGCAAAAACUGACGCAGAAAGUAGAUAUCUUACUGCGUCAGCUCCAGCUCCAGCAGAUGUUCAUAGCGGAACGCACACGAACAGACGGCGGAUCAGGAAUAAAACAGGCGAGAUGGAGUACCAUUGGAACAAGGCCAUACCAUACAUCAAGCCACACCGUGAGUUGGGUGGCAGGCGGCCU